AGCAUCACUAAAUCAGUGAAGAAAUGCUUAAUGCCCUUCAUUCGUUAAAUUCUCGACGAAUAUUUCUAAAACAGUGAGAACAUAAAUGAUGUGCCAAUUUAAAAGACCCGCAAAUAGGACAACGAUUAACUGUUUUGUCUUUUAAUGCUUUUCCGGACAGUAAGCGACUUCGUUUCUUAGUAUAAGAAGUUUUUUUCUUUGGAACAGCAAGCAAAAUGGAAUUCCAUAUAUUAGCUAUUGAAGGGGGGGAAAUAAAUAUCCUCAAAGAAAUAUGAGGAAGGGCGCUAGCUUGAAAAACUGAUAACAUUUUUUGGCUAAUUGCCAAAGAAUUUCCUCUUAAAAGAGCCAUUUUCGACCCAAGCGCGAACAGUAGAAUAUUGUUGGGUACAGUAAUGCUGAACAAUAUUUUAAAAGUUUUCUCAAGGUAAGGCGAACUUAGUUACUGCAGAACUUGAUCUUAAUUAUAUAGUUAUAAAACGAUGCAUAUAGCCGUUUUCUAAAACCAGUAGACCCAAUCACAGAUAGAUUUACGAUCUCCGAGAAAAGAGUUUGAAAUAAUUGGAAGUCGUCAAAAGGAAACUUAAAGACCAGUUACUUUGGUUUCGAGACAAUGCUUAAGAAGUAGGCUGCUGCCUAAAUCUAUAGUCUGCUGUUGAGUAGUAAUAACCCAUGUAUAACGAGACUCCUCAAAUUCACUAUUGCUUUGGCUUGACAUUUAAAUGCUAAGUGCGCUCUCUCUUUAUUAAGUCUCGCAGUUUAAUGUUGACAAUUUUCUUAAGCUCAUGAACUACGCUACAAUCAUAGUCCAUUUAAUUAUUUGAAGUUU